AAUAACACUGAAAUUAGCCUGGGCCAGAUAACUACCUAGCUCAAAACAUGGUAGUCUGGCCAACAUAAGCCACGUAUGACUUUGCCAUUAGUUUGCGCGACAAGGUUGAAACACGAAGACAACGGAAUCCGCAAACGCACUGAGAAUGCGCAGCAGUGAUCCGUAGCUUCGUCCACCACCCCGCUCCGACUAACAUAUAUUUGCAUGUAGUGAACUUGAAAAUGAAAAGGCAAAGUAGGAAAUGAAAAGUCAAAAAGGGUUUUUGAUUUUAUUUUAACAUUUUUGACAUCCGACUCAUACAUGAGUGGACAAUUAAAAUGCAAAUGGAGCUAUUUCAUUUUAUUUUUCAUUUUUGCAGGAUUUUUGCGCACAGACUUGGAAACUGGUCCGUGUAUAUUUUGGCCAUUCUAUUUUCGUUUUUGAAUCAGUAAUUAACAAAACAAAAACGACAGAUGAUUUGUUAUAAAGUCCAAAGUCAAAAUAUCAGAAAACAAACCAUUUUUUACAAUUUCCUUUAAAAUAUCCACAAUAAAAACUGAAGUUGACCAGAACGCGUUUUAUCGUUUUCUGGCACCGGGUGUUACGUAAAAACCGUGCGUGUGUGCACGAGCACAAGUGGCGUUACUUUCAACAUCCUGAGCACACACGUACAGCGGAACGAAGCAGGACAGGUAGUCUUAGCCAACAACACGUCUUUCGGAUAUAUAUUAUAAUGACUUGGGAGCCAUACACUGAUACCAUAUUACAAAUGGUGAAGCUAGGAUUGUCGUCCACUGAAAUUUCUACAAGGAUGUUACACCAUUUCGAGGAAUCAAGGGGUUUUUCUGCAAGGAGUAUAAGAAGAUUUUGUGCUGAACGUGGUUCAGGCUUGGGUCGGUGCUCAGACGCACGUUUAGCGCUGGAGGCUCAAAUGCUAUCAACGAGCGCGAUUCAACUUGAUUCAAUGCAAUAAUGGAUCAUUGUACACGCCUCCAACUGCACAAGAUUUGGCUGAGGGACCUGGGGUGAACUGGCCCCUGACGGCAAUGGAGAACUGGAGAUGAGAGAGAGCAUUUGAGAAAGAGCGUACAGAGGGUAAUCAGUCUAAAUAUAAAAUUAUUGGUGACAAUUCUAAAUAAUCUUUUACCGAUGCAAAGAUGAAUCCAGAUUGUACCUGGUGCCCACUUGUUAAAUUGGGGCAAUCAUUUCAUGAAGUUUAAUGUGCACUGAUGCGAGUCAGUGAAUCUUACCAUCCCUAAUACCUAUUUCCAAAUUUAGGAGCAGCCUGAGCAGGAUGGAGGGGCCCUGACAGGACAGACCGCGGCGGCUUCGGAACAAAGUAAUCUUAGAUAUCAGCCCUAUCAGAGAGAUGCAGCUGGGGAGGUCUUUAUGUAUAGAAACUUAUAGCAGUUUAUUGCUGUAUAGAAAGAACCAUCUCAAAAAUCUGAGGAAAUCCAUGAGGUCAACAAAUACAUUUUUGCAGUGUUGCAACAACUACAAUUCAAAUAACAGCAGGUAGGUUUGGGGUGUCACUGGAUUAACUGGAACUGCUAUGACCCCAAGCAGGACGCUCAGUGGACGGUGGCGAUGCCCCUCUGCGUCCGCGACCUGUCACUUGUAGAGCGGCCCUGCUGAGAUGACGAUGGAACCGUAAGGCUGCUCCUGUUCCACGCUCAGCUUUCCUGCCGUCACCAGUUCUACCAAAGCGGAGCAGCGCUCUCUGUUACCGGUAACUUCCAUGCAAUCCAACUGUGUAAAUCCUUAAUAUUCACGAGAGCAAAAAUACUGCAGCUUCCAAGCCUUUUCCUCACCUAACAAGGAAUAGAAGAACCUGGCUACGUCUCUGCGAUCAGCACCAGGAGGCAGCAGCGAGUGGAAGGUCACCGAGCCAAACUCCUCCAGGGGUUCCUGCACCUGUCUGGGAGAAUGAUGGGGCGUGAGGGUGGCACGAGAUCUAAAGGAGUCACAUUUCCCAGGACAAGAGCGAGAAGACGACGAGAGUUACUCAAGCAGGCCCUCCGCAGUCACCAUCCACUCCUUGGCCUCUCCUUCUGGAAGGAGCACUCCCUCCUCUCUUAUCUCCUCCAGGGAGGUGAAAACCUCUGCUGCUGGGGACCUUUAUAGGAGGACCCAGGGAGUCAGCAUCACUUGGGAUUGUCAGUUUGACUGUCAACUAGGCUCAUGCUGGGUCACCCCGAGGACUAGUUCCCUCCCAUAACCGCCUGCCUCCUCCUCCUGUCCCUACGCUCCUCCUGAUCUCCUGAUCUGACUUGGACCUCCAUUUCCCCUUUUUCCUCCUGCUCCCAGCGCUCUCUCACCCUCGACUCACAGACGGGACGGUGUGAGACGUGUCCCUGUCUGACACCUCCAGCAGCAGCUCGGUCGGUUCUGGAAUGGCAGUAACCAUGGUGACUUUUUACUUAGCGACUGGAGUGGAGAGGAAGGUUGUGCCCACCCACCCCCUGCCUCUGCAGCCAGUCACAGCGACAUGCAGAUAAACAGCAGUACAGGUCUCACCUGAUACAUCAGCAGGGACCAGAGCCGGCUCUGCUGCUGCUCGCGGGAUCUGGAAACGAGAGAGCAGAGAUCAGCCUCUCUCACCUGGGGUGUCACACAGACUGGGAGCUGCACCAUGGACAGGGCACAGUGAUGGGCGAGGCUGCCCUCUCCUCCGGAGCCGGAAGGACUGUCUCCUCAACCUGCAGCAGCAUGCUGUCCUCGUCUGUGACCCUGAGUCUGCCAGAAGGGGGUGCUGUAGUCAUUGCUAUCACAUCU